UAAUACGUAGGGUGCAAGCGUUGUCCGGAAUUAUUGGGCGUAAAGAGCUCGUAGGCGGUUUGUCGCGUCUGCUGUGAAAAUCCAGGGCUUAACCCUGGACCUGCAGUGGGUACGGGCAGACUAGAGUGCGGUAGGGGAGAUCGGAAUUCCUGGUGUAGCGGUGAAAUGCGCAGAUAUCAGGAGGAACACCGGUGGCGAAGGCGGAUCUCUGGGCCGUAACUGACGCUGAGGAGCGAAAGCAUGGGGAGCGAACAGGA
rnacentral:rRNA from 1 species